ACAACCCUCAAGCUCAGCUUGGUCUUGAGCCCCGCCGGCGAUGGCGGGCUCCAAAAUCAGUGGCGGCGCCGUCGGGUCCUGAACGCAGUACGAUAUUUCGUUACAGGUGCUCGGCGCGCUCCCGCCAAAACCCAUCUUUCU
rnacentral:rRNA from 1 species